UACAGAGGGGGCAAGCGUUGUUCGGAAUUACUGGGCGUAAAGGGCGCGUAGGCGGCCUGCUAAGUCGAACGUGAAAUCCCUGGGCUCAACCCCGGAACUGCGUCCGAUACUGGUUGGCUUGAAUCCGGGAGAGGGAUGUGGAAUUCCAGGUGUAGCGGUGAAAUGCGUAGAUAUCUGGAGGAACAUCUGUGGCGAAGGCGACUGCCUGGACCAGCACUGACACUGAGGCACGAAAGCGUGGGGAGCAAACAGG
rnacentral:rRNA from 1 species